GCAGAGCCUUCGGAGAGCUGGGUUGGGCUAAGUGAGCACAACAGCGAGUGAGAGGCAGUACGGCUCUCCUUACGUAAGUUCCUGCAGCUACGAGGACCACGGAUGCUGGUUUGCCCAGGAGAGCCCUAGUGUAUGCUUGGUUUUCCAAGCAUAACUUUUACGUGUAGGCUUCUCAUCUCUCAGUUACCCAGCAAAAACACAAGUGACUCAUGACCAGGAGAGCCGUUGAGGAUAAUCCCAAUUCCAGCCAAGCUCUCCUAAAUCUCAAGACAAAGGAAGGGGAUCGAGGCAAUUUACACACCAAAAGGAACUUUCACGAUCCUGCUCAGAGGAUUCUGGGGGCAAAGUCUCGAGCAGGUAAGAGGAGAAGGAGACCAGCGCAGACUGAGAACCAUGCGGGGCGCAGACCGACCUAAGGAAGGAUUCUAAACUCAUGUUCUGGCUGUUGUUGCUGCAGAACAAAUCACCCCUAAAUUUACUGACUUCAAACAGCAGCGGUUGUUUUCCUAGCUCUCCCUGUUUCUGUGGGUCAGGAGUUUGGGGAGAGGGGGCUGGGCACUUGUGGCCUGGGGUCUCUUAUAGCUGCCGUCAACUGGCGAGAGCUGGAACAGCGGGGCAUCUGGUCUCACUUGCUCCAUGCGGUCACAGGGCCUCUCUUCCUGGGGUGGUUUCAGGUGGCCCCUAGCACGGUGGCCUUAGGAUAAUCAGACUGCUUACACGGUAGCGGAAGUCUUCACAGACGCAUGCGCUGGCGACUGAGCCUUGGAAGUCACACAGUGUUACUUCUGUCCCAACUCUGCCCCCUGUCAAGGAAAGAGGACAUGAAGCUCACCUCUCAAUGAGAGGAGCGUCAAAGUCACUUUCUAAGAAGAUCUCAUGGAAUGGGCAAUAUUGUUUUGCCCAUUUUGGGAAAAUAUAAUUGUGACACCUAGUUUGGGUUCUUUCACCUUACUUCCUUCCAGAAGUCUUGUUGGAAGGCUCAAGACCACAUUUUUGUUUAUUAGUUAACUUUAAUCAUUUUUGUGUUGAGGAUCCUUCCGCUCAUGGAGCAUCUUACCCAGCUCCCCUUCCUGAUACGUGGUGAUGUGUGUCAAGGGUUUGCCCCAGGUCCGAAGGGUUUAGAGGAUGGAGAUUGCAGGUUGUAAUUCCUCAGAGAGAAACUGGACAGUAUAUGGACAAACAGUUCCUUUUCAGCUGUUCAAAAAAGUUCUCCGUAUGACCAGUGAUGUAUUAGUUUUUUAUUGCUGGGUAACAAAUUACCACAAGUUUAGCAGCUUAAAGUAACAUAUAGUUAUCCCACAGUUUCUGUGCGUCGGGAGAAUAACGUGCUUUAGCCAGGUCCUCUACUCACAGUGUCACAAGGCAGAAAUCCAAGUGUCAGCUGGGUUUGUCCUUAUCUGGGGGGUCAACUAUGGAAAAGUCCAUCUCCAAGCUCCCUCAGGUUGUUGGUAAAGUUCAUUUCCUUGUGGUUGUAUGACUGAGGUCCUCAUUUUCUUGCUAGCUGUUAGCCGGGGAUGCUCUCAGGUCCUUGCCGUGGGGCCUUCUCCACAGGCCCUGUAAACACGGCAGCCUACAUCUUCAAGGCCAGCAACAAAUCUCUUCAUGCUUCAUAUCUCUGGCUUUAGGACAGGCCCUGUCCCUUUUAAGGACUCACCUAAUUAGGCCAGGCCCAUCCAGGAUAAUCUCCAUUUUGAUUACUUCAGAGUCAACUGAUCUGGAACCUU
ensembl:lncRNA